UACGGAGGGGGCGAGCGUUAUUCGGAAUUAUUGGGCGUAAAGGGCGCGUAGGCGGCCUCUGCAAGUCGACUGUGAAAUCUCCAGGCUUAACCUGGAAAGUGCAGAGGGGACUGUUCAGCUAGAGGAUGGGAGAGGAGCGCGGAAUUCCCGGUGUAGCGGUGAAAUGCGUAGAGAUCGGGAGGAAGGCCGGUGGCGAAGGCGGCGCUCUGGAACAUUUCUGACGCUGAGGCUCGAAAGCGUGGGGAGCAAACAGG
rnacentral:rRNA from 1 species